rnacentral:lncRNA from 1 species
AGUCACAAUUCCUCUGAGACCCUGAGAUCCUGGUGUGACCAAGCUUCUGGGAUGCUGGGAUCCUGGAAUCCUAAGAUCCUGGGCAUGUUAAAGCGCCUGGAAAUGGUACCUCCUCUGGAGACCAAGGGGCUGUCUGCUGUGUUCAAAAUCAAGCUGCAUCUCUAACAGAUGAGUGUUGAUCUCUGUUACACUAAAGUGUAUGUGUGCACAUGAAUGCAGGCACUCAUGGGGACCAAAAGAGGCUCUCCUUCCAGGUACACACUUCUCCUUGGCCACUGGCAGCUACAGAAUCAUAUAUGUUAAAAAUACUUCGUGCCAGCAGAAGAAUCCAGCCUCUGUGACAACCAUAGAAAUGUGCUGUUCUUUAAUCGCUGGCUGACUCAGUUGUGGUGAACACCAGAGGAACAAGCUUUUUGGUUUAAGUUCUUUCUGUGUCUUUGGGUGGGCCAUCUUGUGUGUGGGGGCAAAUGGCAACAUGCAGUCAGGGUGGCUGUACAGGUGGCCCUUGGAGAAAGGACAGCUGUAAAUGCCCCCACCCCCACCCCGUUUGCAGAAAGCCAAGUUACUUCUUUCAUUUGGAGAGAAUGUAGCAAUUACUUGAAAUUA